rnacentral:rRNA from 1 species
AUUGAACGCUGGCGGCAUGCUUUACACAUGCAAGUCGAACGGCAGCGCGGGCUUCGGCCUGGCGGCGAGUGGCGAACGGGUGAGUAAUACAUCGGAAAGUGCCCAGUAGUGGGGGAUAGCUCGGCGAAAGCCGGAUUAAUACCGCAUACGACCUGAGGGUGAAAGCGGGGGAUCUUCGGACCUCGCGCUCUUGGAGCGGCCGAUGGCAGAUUAGCUAGUUGGUGGGGUAAAGGCCUACCAAGGCGACGAUCUGUAGCUGGUCUGAGAGGACGACCAGCCACACUGGGACUGAGACACGGCCCAGACUCCUACGGGAGGCAGCAGUGGGGAAUUUUGGACAAUGGGCGAAAGCCUGAUCCAGCAAUGCCGCGUGUGUGAUGAAGGCCUUCGGGUUGUAAAGCACUUUUGGCGGGAACGAAAAGGACUGUGCCAAUACCACGGUUCGACGACGGUACCCGCAGAAUAAGCACCGGCUAACUACGUG